rnacentral:rRNA from 1 species
GACGAACGCUGGCGGCGUGCCUAAUACAUGCAAGUCGAACGCUUCUUUCCUCCCGAGUGCUUGCACUCAAUUGGAAAGAGGAGUGGCGGACGGGUGAGUAACACGUGGGUAACCUACCCAUCAGAGGGGGAUAACACUUGGAAACAGGUGCUAAUACCGCAUAACAGUUUAUGCCGCAUGGCAUAAGAGUGAAAGGCGCUUUCGGGUGUCGCUGAUGGAUGGACCCGCGGUGCAUUAGCUAGUUGGUGAGGUAACGGCUCACCAAGGCCACGAUGCAUAGCCGACCUGAGAGGGUGAUCGGCCACACUGGGACUGAGACACGGCCCAGACUCCUACGGGAGGCAGCAGUAGGGAAUCUUCGGCAAUGGACGAAAGUCUGACCGAGCAACGCCGCGUGGGUGAAGAAGGUUUUCGGAUCGUAAAACUCUGUUGUUAGAGAAGAACGAGGACGUUAGUAACUGAACGUCCCCUGACGGUAUCUAACCAGAAAGCCACGGCUAACUACGUGCCAGCAGCCGCGGUAAUACGUAGGUGGCAAGCGUUGUCCGGAUUUAUUGGGCGUAAAGCGAGCGCAGGCGGUUUCUUAAGUCUGAUGUGAAAGCCCCCGGCUCAACCGGGGAGGGUCAUUGGAAACUGGGAGACUUGAGUGCAGAAGAGGAGAGUGGAAUUCCAUGUGUAGCGGUGAAAUGCGUAGAUAUAUGGAGGAACACCAGUGGCGAAGGCGGCUCUCUGGUCUGUAACUGACGCUGAGGCUCGAAAGCGUGGGGAGCAAACAGGAUUAGAUACCCUGGUAGUCCACGCCGUAAACGAUGAGUGCUAAGUGUUGGAGGGUUUCCGCCCUUCAGUGCUGCAGCAAACGCAUUAAGCACUCCGCCUGGGGAGUACGACCGCAAGGUUGAAACUCAAAGGAAUUGACGGGGGCCCGCACAAGCGGUGGAGCAUGUGGUUUAAUUCGAAGCAACGCGAAGAACCUUACCAGGUCUUGACAUCCUUUGACCACUCUAGAGAUAGAGCUUUCCCUUCGGGGACAAAGUGACAGGUGGUGCAUGGUUGUCGUCAGCUCGUGUCGUGAGAUGUUGGGUUAAGUCCCGCAACGAGCGCAACCCUUAUUGUUAGUUGCCAUCAUUUAGUUGGGCACUCUAGCGAGACUGCCGGUGACAAACCGGAGGAAGGUGGGGAUGACGUCAAAUCAUCAUGCCCCUUAUGACCUGGGCUACACACGUGCUACAAUGGGAAGUACAACGAGUCGCUAGACCGCGAGGUCAUGCAAAUCUCUUAAAGCUUCUCUCAGUUCGGAUUGCAGGCUGCAACUCGCCUGCAUGAAGCCGGAAUCGCUAGUAAUCGCGGAUCAGCACGCCGCGGUGAAUACGUUCCCGGGCCU